rnacentral:rRNA from 1 species
AUGGUUAAGUUAGAAAGGGCGCACGGUGGAUGCCUUGGCACUAGGAGCCGAAGAAGGACGGGACUAACACCGAUAUGCUUUGGGGAGCUGUACGUAAGCGUUGAUCCAGAGAUUUCCGAAUGGGGGAACCCACUAUCUUUAGUCGGAUAGUAUCCUUACGUGAAUACAUAGCGUAAGGAAGGCAGACCCAGGGAACUGAAACAUCUAAGUACCUGGAGGAAGAGAAAGAAAAAUCGAUUUCCUGAGUAGCGGCGAGCGAAACGGAAAGAGCCCAAACCAAGAAGCUUGCUUCUUGGGGUUGUAGGACACUCUAUACGGAGUUACAAAGGAAUGUGGUAAACGAAGUGGUCUGGAAAGGCCCGCCAAAGAAGGUAACAGCCCUGUAAUUGAAAGCAUAUUCCCUCCAGAGUGGAUCCUGAGUACGGCGGAACACGUGAAAUUCCGUCGGAAUCCGGGAGGACCAUCUCCCAAGGCUAAAUACUCCCUAGUGACCGAUAGUGAACCAGUACCGUGAGGGAAAGGUGAAAAGCACCCCGGAAGGGGAGUGAAACAGUUCCUGAAACCGUGUGCCUACAAGUAGUUAGAGCCCGUUAAUGGGUGAUAGCGUGCCUUUUGUAGAAUGAACCGGCGAGUUACGAUUUGUUGCAAGGUUAAGCGGAAAAAGCGGAGCCGUAGCGAAAGCGAGUCUGAAUAGGGCGCAUGAGUAACAGGUCGUAGACCCGAAACCAGGUGAUCUACCCAUGUCCAGGAUGAAGGUGAGGUAAUACUCACUGGAGGUCCGAACCCACGCACGUUGAAAAGUGCGGGGAUGAGGUGUGGGUAGCGGAGAAAUUCCAAUCGAACCUGGAGAUAGCUGGUUCUCUCCGAAAUAGCUUUAGGGCUAGCCUCGAGGUAAAGAGUCGUGGAGGUAGAGCACUGUUUGGACUAGGGGCCCUUCUCGGGUUACCGAAUUCAGAUAAACUCCGAAUGCCAUGUACUUAUACUCGGGAGUCAGACUGCGAGUGAUAAGAUCCGUAGUCGAAAGGGAAACAGCCCAGACCACCAGUUAAGGUCCCAAAAUAUAUGUUAAGUGGAAAAGGAUGUGGGGUUGCAUAGACAACCAGGAUGUUGGCUUAGAAGCAGCCACCAUUGAAAGAGUGCGUAAUAGCUCACUGGUCGAGUGACCCCGCGCCGAAAAUGUACCGGGGCUAAACAUAUUACCGAAACUGUGGAUGAACCUCUUAGGAGGUUCGUGGUAGGAGAGCGUUCUAAGGGCGGUGAAGUCAGACCGGAAGGACUGGUGGAGCGCUUAGAAGUGAGAAUGCCGGUAUGAGUAGCGAAAGAAGGGUGAGAAUCCCUUCCACCGAAUAUCUAAGGUUUCCUGAGGAAGGCUCGUCCGCUCAGGGUUAGUCGGGACCUAAGCUGAGGCCGAUAGGCGUAGGCGAUGGACAACAGGUAGAUAUUCCUGUACCAGUGC